rnacentral:rRNA from 1 species
GAUGAACGCUGGCGGCGUGCCUAAUACAUGCAAGUCGAGCGAACAGACGAGGAGCUUGCUCCUCUGACGUUAGCGGCGGACGGGUGAGUCACACGUGGAUAACCUACCUAUAAGACUGGGAUAACUUCGGGAAACCGGAGCUAAUACCGGAUAAUAUAUUGAACCGCAUGGUUCAAUAGUGAAAGACGGUUUUGCUGUCUCUUCUAGCUGGAUCCGCGCCGCAUUAGCUAGUUGGUAAGGUCACGGCUUAUCAAGGCAACGAUGCGUAGCCGACCUGAGAGAGGGAUCGCCCACACGGGAACUGGGACACCGACCAGGCUCCUACGGGAGGCAGCAGUAGGGAAUCUUCCGCAAUGGGCGAAAGCCUGACGGAGCAGCGCCGAGUGAGUGAUGACGGUCUUCGGAUCGUAAAAAUCUGUUAUUAGGGAAAAACAAAUGUGUAAGUAAAUAUGCACGUCUUGACGGUACCUAAUCAGAAAGCCACGGCUAACUACGUG